GACCAGUUAGCCUAUCAUGAUGAAUUCAUCAGGAAUUAACCAAGAUAGUUUCCAGGGAGAACCGCGAGGAGGUCGACCUGGUUGGGUAUAUUGCUAGCAAUGGGAUUCUCAGUCUCCAUUACUAACAAUCCCUUUCUCCCCUGUGUAGUUUGGUUAGAUAUUCCUGACCAAGUCAUUUUACGUGGCUUAUAUUAAGUGCUGUCUCUUUUUCCUUGGUUAUACACUCAUCGCUUUAAUCCAAAUAGUAUAUAAACAAGGGAAUUCUUUUUUUAGAUCACCAAAAUGAAACAGAAUUUUUCUUAUAUUUUUAAUAUAAGGAUUUGUUAUGAAUCUAUAAUUAAAUAUGAUUGAUGAGAUCUGUCAUUUGAAUAUGGAAACUGCUUUGGAUAUUUCAACCGCUGGGCUUGGGAUAAAUAUGCUAAAACAUGUAAACGCCGAUUGUAUUCUGGUUGCAGUGGUAACCAGAACAAUUUCGAGUCUCGCGCUGAGUGCCUGGCUACAUGUCUGAAUCCACCAAAUAAUACCAUGAACAGAUUCCAUCAAUAUACCUAUAUACCACCUGUGUACCCUUCAACAUAGUUGAACUCAAUUGAUUUAGAUGAUUUUAAGAAUUUAAUUACACUAAUUUCACCUGCGACUCUGUUUGCGUGACCAUCUUGGUCUAUCAAGAUUACUUUUAAGAUACACAUGGUCUGUGAUGAACAUAUCUAUUACAUUCAGAUAUAAAUCUGUGAAAGCUUUUGUAUAGCUGGAGAAUAUUAUAGUUAUUCCAUGUUGUCAUUUGAUAUUUCUGUAAAAAGUUCAUAUUAAAAUAUAUUUAACUAUAAUAAUGUAGUUUCACAGUAGAAGUCGAUAUUAUACAAUAUUUUCUAUAAAUCGCUAUCAUAUAUUUGUAAAUAAUGCAAUUGUCAUAUAUUAUCCAAGUUAUAUUGGCACGCCAUCUUUUUCAAUAUUCACUAAUAAUAACGAUACAAACUCAACCCGUCAAGGGAUGAUUAUUUUAUUGCUGAAACAAUUAUUUCUUAGUUAAACAUCAAAUGGCUGAACCUAAUAAAUUUCAAGUUCAAAAAUGAUGAACUCAUAUAAAAUUCAACUUUCACCUUUCUAGGAAGACAUUAAGGGACGGUUUUUAGAAAUCCCACAUGAUCGAGAGAUGUAAUUCGCACACGAAAUUACCUAAUAUGAACAUUUUGACAUUACAUCUUUAAUAUACAACUUAGAAUGGCAAACAAGCUGUCGUCCCACGUGAUGGAAAGUGGUAACCGUCGCCUAUAGUCAUGAGCAGUACCAUGGACAUAACAAAGUAUACUGUUUCGCCCAUGAUACCCCCCAUGCGUUGCCAUUCCUGAGGACUCAGGUGUUAUUCCUCUGUACCCUGUAAAUUCACCCUUCAAACCGAAACACAGCCAUGCAAACACAACUGCUUCACGGUUAAAAUACGAAUCGGACAGAGGUACCCAAUUGAAAUUAGUAGACCUUUUUUUUAUGACGCUUGGUAUGAUAAAUAAGUUGACGAUCCACUCUAUUGCAGCACGGCUCUAUUAUAUCGUUACAAUAUACUAUAAUAGUAAAGAAAUCCACAUGCAAUUCCUUUAUUUUGCUUUAUUUGUCCUUUUUAAUUUUCAUGUCCAUGGCAUGAGUAAUAUUCGACCGUAUGUCAUGUCGUAUGAAUACCAUUAUGCUUGAGGAUAAAAGGCGCUAUCUGUAAACGUUGGAUAGGUACCAAUAGUUGCUUAACCUAUCGUAAGGAAUUCAUCAGAUAUUAACUACGAUGGUUAGCAUGGAGGAUCGUGGAGGUAGGCAUAUGCCGUAAAUUAGGUAUAAUAGUACCUAUCAGAUCUUAACCCUUUGAGUGCCACGAGCGUCAUAGCGCUCGUGAAAUCAGUCGCUGUUUAGCUUGCUGUAAAAAAAUAUUAAAAUUAGAUAAUUUUUGGAGGUUUUUUUUUAGAGACAAGGGUAAAUGACAUCAACACGACAAAGAUUUCUUUGGCAUUUUUAAGUAGAUAUGAGUAAAAAUCAAUGGCACUAAAAGGGUUAAGGGAGCCUACUUUGGAGAAUAACACAUUUUAUACAAAAUUUCAUUGUGAAACAGAACAAAACCAUAAAUUGUAAUUGCUUACAUGAUUUACAGUUGUUUUAGAGCUGUAGAAAUUGCGGUUAUAAUUUUAUGUAGUACAUUUCAUGUAAUAGAAAUAUAAAAAGUAGGUACUGUGCUAUAUUAACACGAUGAAAGUACUUGGCCAACUAUUCUAUAUUUUUGUCGUAUUUUUCUUUAUGAUUUAUAUUGUAAAUGCUUGUACCAUAUGUGCUGCUCACAAUUCGCAAGGAGAACUGCAAGAAAGAUUUCUGAAAGUUGCAGUGCCCAAGAGAAAGUACAUUCAUCGCCUGAUAAAUAGCACAUCGCCAUAUUAAGAGAGAAAUAAAUUAAAAAUAGAAUUUUACCGAAAACAAAUAAAUUCACAUUAAGAUAUUAUUAUUUUAACCUGGUAGAAAUAAAUUACGAAGUAUGGCCCGUAUAAAUUAACCAGUAUAAAAAGUUACUUAUUAACUAGUAUAGGCAAAGUUAUGCAAAUAAUAUUAAAAUUAUUACAUGGCAGGCUCGUCGUGGUGUUCAGCAUCAAAAUAUGAUUCAUGACGAACGUGGAGUGAAGGUUUUGACAACAUUAGCACCCCAAAUUCAAAAGGUCGUAUCACAACUGAGUACCAGUAAACUAUUGAAAAACAAAGACAAUUAUGAAAAGUUGUUACGACAGUUGAAACAAAUGUUUCACACUACGUCUACUACAGUAUGCGCCCGAUGCAGACACAAUUAAAAUUAUUUAAAACGUAUACAAUUCGUUUUAAUAC